rnacentral:tRNA from 1 species
AAGGGUAUAGCUCAGUGGCAGAGUAUAUGCUUAACAUGCAGGAGGUCAUGGGUUCAAUCCCCAGUACCUCCA